AGUCAAAGUUCAUUCCAAAUUUUCAGAGGUGCCCAUAAUGGUGGAGUUGUCAUUGGAAGGGAAGCUCCUGAUUCUAGUACAUUUGUCACUGGCAAUGAACUAUUUAGGAUGAGAAAUAGAAGACUUGCAGAAGUUGGUGUUUCAGAAGUUGGUGUUUCAGAAUUAUCAACUCAACAUAGUAUUUCAGAUGUUAGCACUAAAAAAAAUCAUUGAAUUGUUACUAGGAUCAAUGACUGAAUGUAAUUUUUU